UCACUCAGUGGUUAGCCAUUUCUGAUGUUCUUAGAAGUGAUGCUAUGCCCUCUUUUCUUUCAAUAUCUACGUGGAUUUAGUAAGAUUUCUUGGGAUGUUCAUAAUAAACAAGGGCAUUAAAUGGUGAAUGAUUUUCUAAGGAUAUCAAUUCAGCUAGAUAUUUUCAAGAUGGCUUCAGUGGGUGUGGCACCUACUUCUGGCCCAAGGGAGUCGAGUAAUAAUUCUGUAGGGUUUGAUAGUUUGCUUGAGGAAAUGAGCGACAUGAAAAUUCACGAUGAUAAGGUAACGAAGAUGGCAAAUAAUGAAGUUUUAACUGUAAAGGAUGCAGUACAUAAGCUUCAACUUUAUCUACUCGAAGGAAUAGAAAAUGAGAAACAACUAUUGGCAGCUGGUUCAUUGAUGUCACGAAGUGACUAUCAAGAUGCGGUGACUGAGCGCACAAUAGCCCAUACGUGUGGUUACCCGCUUUGCAGCAAUUCUUUACCUUCCGAGCAACCACGGAAGGGCCGCUACCGUAUCUCACUGAAGGAGCAUAAAGUCUAUGACCUUCAAGAAACAUAUAUGUAUUGCUCAGCCACCUGUUUGAUACAUAGUCGAGCCUUUUCUGCUAGUUUGCUAGAGGAGAGAUCAUCAACUCUGAACACUGCCAAAAUAAAAAAAGUUCUAAAUCUGUUUGAUGGUUUAGGUUUAGAAUCUGCUGUGAAUAUGGGAAAGGAUGGAGAUUUAGAAAUUUCAAAUCUGAAGAUUCACGAGAAAGCGGACACAAAAACUGCAGAAGUCUCUUUAGAUGAAUGGAUUGGCCCCUCAAAUGCUAUCGAUGGAUACGUACCAAAGAGAGAUCAGAAAUUGGAAUCUCAGAAAGAAAAUAGUUUCAAAAAAGAUGUAAAACAGAAACGAGUUGUACCUGAAGAUAGGUAUAAUCUGCCGAAUGUAGCAGACUUUCUGGGCAAUGACAUGGACUUCACUAGUACUAUCAUAACUCAAGAUGAGUAUAGCAUUUCAAAGGCAGUUGCCCCUACAAAGGCUAAAGAACCAAGGGGAAAAGCUAUCUGUAAAGAACCCAAUAGUCUUGGAAAAACAGAGCAAAAGCCAGCUGCUUCUUUGGUGAACGCUUGGGAUGCCAAAACCAAGAAGUUAAAUGAACAUAAGAACUUGCCUGCAGCAGAUAUCAAUGUAUUAGAAGAUGCAGCUUGUCUUAACCAAAGCGAUGCUACAAAGGAAGAGAAUCUCCAAUUGGGGAAGCCAUUUGCAGCUGGACCUAGCCAAAAUGGUGCUUCGGAGAAAGAACAUAAACGAUUAGUGGAGAAGCAACCUGCAGCUGGUCCUUCUCUCCUGAAAUCUUCUCUAAGGACGAAAGCUUCAAAAAAAGAAACCCGGUCUGUUACCUGGGCUGACAAUACAAGUAAUGGUGAUGGGCAAGGUGUUGGAAAAUUGAAUGAUGAUGAGAAAGGAGCUGCAGCCGAAUCUUAUUCUAUGAAUGAGGAAGUGAGUGAGGAAUCAUAUCGAUUAGCAUCUGCUGAAGCCUGUGCAAGAGCUCUAAGUGAGGCUGCGGAAGCUGUCUCAUCCGGAAAAUCUGAUGUAUCCGAUGCUGUGUCUGAAGCAGGUGUGACAAUAUUGCCACCUCCGCUUGGAUUGGAUGAAUCUAAAUCUGACAAAAGUGUGGAAAUUGUGGACACCGACCCUGUUACACUGAAGUGGCCUCCAAAACCAGGUACUUCAAAUGAUGAUCUAUUGGACUCUGAGGAUUCAUGGUAUGAUAGUCCCCCAGAUGGGUUCAAUUUAAAUCUGUCGCCUUUUUCUACAAUGUUUAUGGCAAUCUUUGCCUGGAUAUCAUCCUCCUCUUUAGCUUAUAUAUACGGAAAGGAGGAAAGUUUUCAUGAGGAUUACUUAUCUGUGAAUGGAAGGGAGUAUCCACGCAAGAUAGUAUUGUCCGAUGGCCGGUCCUCUGAAAUUAAGCAAACUCUAGCUGAUUGCCUUUCGAGAGCCUUGCCUGGACUUGUUGCAGAAAUCAGGCUUCCUAUUCCGAUAUCUAUCCUGGAGCAAGGAAUUGCACGCUUAUUAGAGACAAUGUCUUUCACUGAUUCUCUUCCUGGAUUCCGGAUGAAGCAGUGGCAAGUUCUAAUUCUGUUGUUUCUGGAUGCUCUUUGUGUCAGCAGAAUCCCUACACUUGCCCCAUAUUUGAUGGGCUCAAGGAUUCAUCUUCCCAGGUUUAUGUUCUGCUGUUGAAAUGACGAGGAGAAAUGGAUUUUGUACCGUUAACCGGAAUUAGCUUAAAGCACGGAAAAAGUAAAAAUUUCUUUAUUGCUUAUGGAGAAAGUUGCUUCCAUAAAUGGUACUCGAGGGAGCACAUAUCAGUACCGAAGAAUAUGAGCUAAUGAAGGAUUUGAUCAUCCCACUUGGUCGAGUGCCUCAAUUCUCAACUCAGAGUGGCGGCUAGGCUAAUCAUCCGGUGAUCUAUCCUUAUCACAGUUAUUAUGUUCAAUAGAUGUUAUAUCUUUUUUGCCCUCCUGUAGUUCAUAAUUCGACAAAAUUUUAAAUAUAUAGCCCCUAAUGUAUUCAAACGAAGAAAUUUCUUUAGACAAAAGUUAUGUGUGAGUUUUGAAGAGAUUUUAGGCCACAACAUUUCUUCCUAUGUCUCUCUAUCUCCUUACUUUCCAGUGAAAGAAUUUGUUGGGAUGAGUA